AUGGAGCUACAAAAUUUGAUUCAAACUCAAUGGUCUAGCAUGACAAUUGAUACUUGGACUGGCACAGGACAAAACAGGAAGUACUCCUCCAUCAAGAUGUAUAAAACAAUUUGUGCCAGAGCUGAACCGAACAAACUUUUCACAAAAAUCUGGAAGACAGCCAAUCGAUUAAGACACAAAAUUUUCUUCUGGCUCCUGCUACAUGACAGAGUGAACACCAGAAAUCUUUUGAAUCGGAAGAACAUGUUCCUUGAAUCUUAUGAUUGUGUCUUCUGUAAUGAGCACUCAGAAGAAACUCUAAGACACCUUUUCUGGGACUGUGUCUUCACUCAGGAAUGUUGGAAAAGCACCUUCCCUUCUAAAAAGCCAUGCAUCUCAAGCUACGACGAUAUUAUGCUGAUCUACUCAUUACUACCAAAGGGAAUUGCUCUUGAGAUCAUUAUUCAAGGUUGCUGGAGGAUCUGGACCCAAAGAAAUGGAAAGAUUUUUAGAAAGGAAGUGCCAAGCAUAAACUGUUGGAAGUACAGAUUAAAAGAGGAUCUUCAACUUCUCCAAUACAGAAUCAAAGCAAAGUACAAGGAUGUUUGCUGGAAUGGAUUGCUGCACAUUUGUAAUGUUUGCAGAGAUUAA
rnacentral:rRNA from 1 species